CGCUACACUCCUACGGGAGGCAGCAGUGGGGAAUAUUGCACAAUGGGCGCAAGCCUGAUGCAGCCAUGCCGCGUGUGUGAAGAAGGCCUUCGGGUUGUAAAGCACUUUCAGUCGUGAGGAAGGUAGUGUAGUUAAUAGCUGCAUUAUUUGACGUUAGCGACAGAAGAAGCACCGGCUAACUCCGUGCCAGCAGCCGCGGUAAUACGGAGGGUGCGAGCGUUAAUCGGAAUUACUGGGCGUAAAGCGCAUGCAGGUGGUUUGUUAAGUCAGAUGUGAAAGCCCGGGGCUCAACCUCGGAAUAGCAUUUGAAACUGGCAGACUAGAGUACUGUAGAGGGGGUAGAAUUUCAGGUGUAGCGGUAAAAAUGCGUAGAGAUCUGAAGGAAUACCGGUGGCGAAGGCGGCCCCCUGGACAGAUACUGACACUCAGAUGCGAAAGCGUGGGGAGCAAACAGGAUUAGAUACCCUGGUAG
rnacentral:rRNA from 1 species